AAGUCGUAACAAGGUUUCCGUAGGUGAACCUGCGGAAGGAUCAUUAAUGAAUAUUAGGGUGCUCUUUUCAUCAAAGAGGCCUGACCUUCAUUUUCUACCCUGUGCACCAUAAACUUAUUCAGCAGUUGGUAGUUUGGCCUCUAGGGGCCUUACGACUCUGCUGGAUUCAUUCUUAAACUCUUAAGUCUAAAGAAAGUAUAAAUCAUAAACAAAGAAAAACUUUCAACAACGGAUCUCUUGGCUCUC
rnacentral:misc_RNA from 1 species